rnacentral:lncRNA from 1 species
AAUAAUUUCAUUUACCUUUUCAGCUCACCCAUCUUGUUGCACCAUUCCUAUUAAUGAAAUAUUGAAAACUUGAUGUUUUGCUUUAGGAAAAUGGGACCAGUAUGGCUGAACAUGUUCGAAAUUCCGGUUGGCCAAAAACUGGCUCCUAUCAAGAUCCUCUUCAUAAUGCCUCUGAAGAAGCCACAGAACAAAACAUACGAGCUGGUACUCAGGCUGUUUUACAGGUGUUCAUUAUAAACUCAUCAAACAUAUUUCUUCUUGAACCUGCAAAUGAAAUAAAAAAUCUUCUGGAUGAGCACACAGAUAUGUGUAAACGCAUUCUUAACAUUUAUCGGUACAUGGUUGUACAAGUAUCGAUGGACAAAAAAACUUGGGAACAGAUGCUACUUGUAUUGCUCAGAGUCACGGAGUCUGUACUGAAGAUGUCAUCACAAGCUUUUCUACAGUUCCAGGGGAAAAAAAAUAUGACCUUGGCAGGUCGACUUGCAGGACCACUUUUCCAGACGCUUAUAGUUGCCUGGAUCAAAGCAAAUCUAAAUGUGUAUAUCUCUCGAGAACUUUGGGAUGACUUAUUGUCAGUAUUGUCAUCGUUGACCUGUUGGGAAGAAUUGGCCACUGAGUGGUCACUGACUAUGGAGACACUAACUAAAGUUUUAGCUAGAAAUUUAUAUAGUUUGGAUCUCAGUGAUUUGCCAUUGGAUAAGCUGAGUGAACAGAAACAAAAAAAGCACAAAGGGAAAGGAGUUGGACAUGAAUUUCAGAAAGUUUCAGUUGACAAGUCAUUUUCUAGAGGAUGGAGUCGCGAUCAGCCUGGCCAGGCCCCAAUGAGACAGAGAAGUGCAACAACCACUGGCUCUCCAGGGACUGAAAAGGCGAGGAGUAUAGUGCGGCAGAAAACUGUUGAUAUUGAUGAUGCUCAAAUACAUCCCCGCUCAACUAGAGUCAGACAUUUUUCACAAAGUGAAGACACUGGAAAUGAAGUUUUUGGUGCCUUGAAUGAAGAACAGCCAUUGCCUCGAAGUAGCAGUACUUCUGACAUCUUGGAACCAUUCACUGUUGAACGAGUCAAAGGUGCAGUUCCUGUCAUUGACAGUUCAUCCCGUCAUGCACCAAGCUUGCAGAGUUCCACAGAGGCUUCUUCAAUAACUAGAUCCACUGAAAGCCACAUCACUGAUACUCAUAGUAGAGAGUCUUCUCUGGAAGUUGGUGAUAGCAUAUAUGACCAUCUUUGUCACUUAAUAGGUCCAGUAGAACUUGCAGAUUCAGCUUUUGAACAAAUCCAGUACUUUGACCUUGAAGGAGAUGAUGAUCUUCUUUCUUCCCUGAAAGAAUAUUUUAAGGAAAACCAAGAAAAUUAUAGUAAAAAUGAAAUAGGAAAAGAUACAGCUUCUCAGGAAGUGAUUAUUGCAGUAACUAAGGAUGAAAGAUCAUCCUUAGAUAAGUUAGAAUAUAGAGAUCAAGAAAUUAAACCAGAAAAUGUCAUGUCUUAUGUUAGGACUCCUGAAAGCAUACAGUUUCAGAAAGAACCAAGUGCACCUGCUUUCAUGAGUAAUGUACCUCAUCAGUCAGAUAGUUUUAUGAGAACACAAACUUCUGAAAAAUCUAAGCAACUAAACAUUGACAAACCAUCAUCAGAGCCUAGUUCAGGUAGCCCUUGUGAUAAAGAAAAAAGGAAAUACUUGUAUAGACAAGCAGCCACAGAAUUAGAUGCCUGUGUAGAUGUAACGCUAGUUGAAAAGCUUAAGAGUGUACAAAUUAAUGAAAAGAUCACUGUCCCACAUAUGCAUGCCAAGAAAACUACUCUAAAACCACCUGUUAACCGCAGAAUGCCUCAUGUUUCAAACACUAGCAAGCUUUCUCCUACUAAAAGGAGCUUGUCUGAAACAGUAACUCAUAGGGCCAAAAUCAUGAAAAUCACUACUAAGAAACGAAAUAGUGUUCAUGUUACUUUUAGACCAUCUACUGAGUCUGUUCAGUUUUAUAAUCCUCUGGAAAACAAAGAGCCUCCAUGGAAGAUGAGACUACGGAAGCUCAGUGGCUUUAGUAGUAGUAGUAGUAGUAGUAGUAGUAACAGUAACAAUAGCAGUACCAGCAACACCCAUACCAGCUCAGCUAGUGGCACAGAGCUUGUAAAACCUGGUGUAUACAGGCCUCUCGAUACGAUUAGCACAGCAUCAGUUAGUAGCAAAACAGUGAAGGAAUCUACAGAGAUUCCCACCACCACUGUAUUACAGAAAGAAGAAACUGCAAGUAAUCAGUUAGGUAGUCGUAGUACUCUCAGGUCAUCAAGUCAUGAGGCAGGACUACAGCAGGGCUCCCUGGGUGGCGUUUAUAAAACUGUUGUACAUGCUCUUUCGAAGCCGAAGGCAAAUGUUUCCCCACAGAGGCAGAACAGAAUGCCACCAGAGGCUCCACUGAGGGAUCUGUACAGUCAUGUAAUGGGCUAUUUUGGAAGGAAAGCUGCAGUCAAUAAAGAGGACAUGAGCCCCAAACUGCCUCCUCUUAAUAGUGAUAUUGGCAGCAGCAGUGCUAAUGUUCCUGACUUGAUGGAUGAGUUUAUAGCAGAACGACUGCGAAGCGGUAAUGCCUUGAAUAUGACAAGAAGAGGAAGUAGUCCAGGCAGCCUUGAGAUUCCUAAAGACCUCCCUGAUAUUCUAAACAAGCAGAACCAGAUGCGCCCCAUUGAUGACCCAGGCGUGCCCUCUGAAUGGACUUCUCCUGCUAGUGCAGGGAGCAGUGAUCUUAUCAGCUCAGACAGUCACUCAGAUUCUUUCAGUGCUUUCCAGUAUGAUGGCCGAAAAUUUGACAGCAAGUAUCUCUUAGUAUUUGAGUAGCAUGUUUUGUAUUGAUUGUCUGUUCAAGACUGAGUUACAGUUAUAUAGCCAUCAUCUUCCUCUCCAGUGUUAACUCAGACAGUGGUUCAUACAUAAUUUGAUUUCACUUCUCAGUGAAAUUCCUAAGGAAGUUUCUGGGAAUUUACCUCAGGUUGAGACCACUUUAUUUUGCCCAACUAGGGCAUAUGAGAAAUAAGAAAUAUUGCCUUUUCAUAGAACAAAUUAUAAUUUUAAGACCAAAAAAUGUGAAAAGGAAAAUAAAGGACAGUUCAUGGUUAUGAGUUGCUACUGUUUCAUGCACUUACAUUUGCGAACCAUUGACUAAUGUUGAAUACUACAAUACUCAGAACCUUUCUUAAAUAGAUUGCUCCAUGUUAAAAUUACUUCUGUGAUAUUACUUGGCACUUUAUUAUGACCUCAUGAUUAUUCUGCGGUACUUCUGUUAUACUUGACAAUUAGUGAAGAGCAUCACAAUUAAAAAGAAAAUGAAAACCUUGGGAAUCAAGUUUGUGAAGAACUGGGAGGUGCAUUGGUAAAUUACAUGUUUCCUUCCUUCGUGGGUUAAUUGUAUACUACCUUGAUCUCAGAUGAAUAUGAUUCAAGAGAAAGAUUAUUUUACCACGUCAUUUUUUAUAUAUUCCUUAACUAGAGAUUAUAAAAUACUUACGCACUAAAUGUAUUACCAGCUCUCAAAAAACAUGGAUCAAAUUAGUGGUGCUAUACCACGU